rnacentral:rRNA from 1 species
UUUUAUGGAGAGUUUGAUCCUGGCUCAGGAUGAACGCUGGCGGCGUGCCUAAUACAUGCAAGUCGAGCGAACUGACGAGGAGCUUGCUCCUUUGACGUUAGCGGCGGACGGGUGAGUAACACGUGGGUAACCUACCUAUAAGACUGGAAUAACUCCGGGAAACCGGGGCUAAUGCCGGAUAACAUGUUGAACCGCAUGGUUCAACAGUGAAAGACGGUCUUGCUGUCACUUAUAGAUGGACCCGCGCCGUAUUAGCUAGUUGGUAAGGUAACGGCUUACCAAGGCGACGAUACGUAGCCGACCUGAGAGGGUGAUCGGCCACACUGGAACUGAGACACGGUCCAGACUCCUACGGGAGGCAGCAGUAGGGAAUCUUCCGCAAUGGGCGAAAGCCU